AAUCAACGCUGGCGGCGUGCCUCAGACAUGCAAGUCGAACGAUUAAAGCUCUCCUCGGAGAGUGUAUAGAGUGGCGCACGGGUGAGUAACACGUAAGUAAUCUACCUUCGAGUGGGAAUAACGUCCGGAACGGACGCUAAUACCGCAUAAUGCAGCGGCAUCGCAAGAUGACAGUUGUUAAAGAUUUAUCGCUUGAAGAGGAGCUUGCGGCAGAUAGCUAGUUGGUAAGGUAAUGGCUUACCAAGGCUACGAUCUGUAACCGGUCUAAGAGGACGGUCGGUCACACUGACACUGAAUAACGGGUCAGACUCCUACGGGAGGCAGCAGUCGGGAAUUUUGGG
rnacentral:rRNA from 1 species